rnacentral:piRNA from 1 species
UUUUAUUGCCAAAAUUCCUGU